GGCCUGGUGGUGUAAGUGUUAACACAUCUGCUUCACCUAUGUUGGCUCGUAUGUUUCCGGCAGGAGACUCCUUGUUCGAAUCAAGGUCAGGCCA